UCAGUCAGGACUCAGUGACUAACACUUUCACUUUCUUUCUUGUAGAUAGUGGCAUAAUUUAACUUGAGAGUUUUUUUUUUCCCCCCUAAGUUCUGUGUCCUUGGGCUUUGAAAAAACAACCAGGUUAAUUAAUUGUUUUGCCUCAAAAAAAAAUCUUUAUCUCACUACUGGAUAUUCUAGUCCUGAAAUCUGACUACUAAGAAUAGCCUUUUAGGCUACUGAGGUCUCUGCCUUGUGACAGUCAACUGUUAUUACUAUGAUUUUACUGAUUUGAGUUAGCUGAGAGAAGGGACUGAAUAAUAUAAAUCUAUUUACGGUUGGGAUUCUGUCUAUCUCUUGGUACUAAUCAGAGUGUAGGGAAAAUCACCAAUUUAUGAAGGGCCACAGGAACAAUUUUUAGUUCCACUGUCUUUAUCUUUUAGGCAUUUUAAGUAAAUGGAGGCAACCAAAUUCUCUAUUCCUGUGCCACUGAGGGGAGGCAAAAUAAGUGGCCUUUUGAAUGCCAGAACCUUUCACCUUCAGAAAAGAAGAGACUGGAAAUUACAGAGUUGAUGACAGGAGAAACCGAUUCUCUCUGAAGAUGAAAUAUUGACUCCCUAAUUAGCUCAGGCUCUGGCCCAGAGGACUGUGCGUGGCUGUAUUUAACUGCCUGG